rnacentral:rRNA from 1 species
AUACGUAGGGGGCGAGCGUUGUCCGGAAUGAUUGGGCGUAAAGGGCGCGUAGGCGGCCGCUUAAGUCUGGAGUGAAAGUCCUGUUUUCAAGAUGGGAAUUGCUUUGGAUACUGGGGGGCUUGAGUGCAGGAGAGGUUAUCGGAAUUCCCGGUGUAGCGGUGAAAUGCGUAGAGAUCGGGAGGAACACCAGUGGCGAAGGCGGGUAACUGGACUGCAACUGACGCUGAGGCGCGAAAGUGUGGGGAGCAAACAGGAGUAGAUACCCUGGUAGUCCACACUGUAAACGAUGAAUGCUAGGUGUAAGAGGUAUCGACCCCUUUUGUGCCGGAGUCAACACAAUAAGCAUUCCGCCUGGGGAGUACGGCCGCAAGGUUGAAACGCAAAUGAAUUGACGGGG